rnacentral:rRNA from 1 species
AAAAAGAGGAGUGGCGAACGGGUGAGUAACACGUGGGUAACCUGCCCAUCAGAAGGGGAUAACACUUGGAAACAGGUGCUAAUACCGUAUAACAAUCAAAACCGCAUGGUUUUGAUUUGAAAGGCGCUUUCGGGUGUCGCUGAUGGAUGGACCCGCGGUGCAUUAGCUAGUUGGUGAGGUAACGGCUCACCAAGGCCACGAUGCAUAGCCGACCUGAGAGGGUGAUCGGCCACAUUGGGACUGAGACACGGCCCAAACUCCUACGGGAGGCAGCAGUAGGGAAUCUUCGGCAAUGGACGAAAGUCUGACCGAGCAACGCCGCGUGAGUGAAGAAGGUUUUCGGAUCGUAAAACUCUGUUGUUAGAGAAGAAAAAGGAUGAGAGUAACUGUUCAUCCCUUGACGGUAUCUAACCAGAAAGCCACGGCUAACUACGUGCCAGCAGCCGCGGUAAUACGUAGGUGGCAAGCGUUGUCCGGAUUUAUUGGGCGUAAAGCGAGCGCAGGCGGUUUCUUAAGUCUGAUGUGAAAGCCCCCGGCUCAACCGGGGAGGGUCAUUGGAAACUGGGAGACUUGAGUGCAGAAGAGGAGAGUGGAAUUCCAUGUGUAGCGGUGAAAUGCGUAGAUAUAUGGAGGAACACCAGUGGCGAAGGCGG